AGCAAACAGUAAUUUAUCAUCUUGGCCUUGAGACAUCUGACAGUCAGCAGUUGUGCCAGUGAAAUUCCAGAAACUUCAGAGCCAAAUCUACAUACAUACGGGAAGAAUGUAUUAUGAAAGCAACACAUCAUUAAUCAGAACAGUUGAUAGCACCAGCAGUUAUCCUGCUUUCCUGUUAUGGACUGGCCUGGGACCUGCUAUAUGGGCAAUGUCUACAUGAACGAUUCCGGGAGCAGUGGGAGAGAAGAUCACAGCAGCUCAAUGUUGCAGGAUCCAGACAGCAUGGGAAGCUUUUUUGUUUAUGCCCUAUGCACAGUUCUGCCCCAUACCAAACGUGCAGUGCUGUUUAUAUGGAACUAGUCUGAAAAUGAACUGCUGAUGCAUAACCAAACAUUUGUUGCAGGGUUAGACUCUUCAGUCUCCAGCAGGAGUUGUAGUCUGAUCUGAAAAUCCCUCCACUAGCCCUGUUAUACUUGAGAUGGCAAAAUGCCACCCAGUUACUCUCACACUGACUGAAUACUCAGGCAUGGCAUAUGCUAACAGUACCUAGUCUGCUGGGCUCAUAGUCAGGGCUCCUUCCUCUGUCUCAUAGAGUCUGCAAUUAUAACAUUUUAUUAGAAGUUUCAGAACGGUUCUGGUAAAGUUAUUCUACAAAAGGUGAUACAAAGUUUCAGUGGUUCUGCCACCACCUAAUCUGCAUAAAGCAAGUGUUUGUCUUUUUUGAUUAGUUCAAUAAAAAAGGAAGAGUAAUUAUCAGAAACAUGAAACCUAAUAACAAAUGUAUUCUAAUGAGAAGAUAAAUUGUUAAAAUACAUGCACCCAAAAUAUUUUGGAGAAUGUUAAUAUUUUAUUCGAGUAUCAUCUGUAAAAAUAAUGUUAUAAAGAUGGUCACAGUCAGUUAAGAAAACAUAAGAACUGUAUGUGUGUAAAGUUUAUGAAUGGUCUUCAAUGGAAAAAAAAAAACAAAGAGAACUAAAAAUGUGAUCCGAUUCUGCAUCAGAACUUGAUUAUAUAGUAACUAAUUAUGGAUUACAGCAUCAAUACAGAAAUAAUGUAAGGAAUCUAGAUGCAGUUCAUGGGUUUUUUCCUUCCUUAAACUUCUUGUGCUUCAUUGGAAAGGGGCUCAUUUUUUUUUUUUGCAUUGCGUAUUUCUGUAAAGUUGUUUACCAAUCUUGUGGUGUAACAUUAAGCUCAAAUUUCUUGUAUAAAGUUUCAAAACUGGUUCUUCUAUUUACAUCUCUUAAGAAUUCCCAGAUUGUGUUUUAUGUUUUCUUAGCCACCAUAAUGCCUAAUGAUUCAUUGUGGUCAUAGCAAGCUUGGCCCACUCACGUAUGGCAGAAUUUAAUUUCCUUGUCAAUGUUCAGACUUAAA